CCUACGGGUGGCAGCAGUGGGGAAUAUUGGGCAAUGGGCGCAAGCCUGACCCAGCAAUGCCGCGUGAAGGAAGAAGGCUUUCGGGUUGUAAACUUCUUUGACAGGGGAAGAGCAGAAGACGGUACCCUGAAAACAAGCCACGGCUAACUACGUGCCAGCAGCCGCGGUAAUACGUAGGUGGCAAGCGUUGUCCGGAUUUACUGGGUGUAAAGGGCGUGUAGCCGGGAAGGCAAGUCAGAUGUGAAAUCCGGAGGCUCAACCUCCGAAUUGCAUUUGAAACUGUUUUUCUUGAGUAUCGGAGAGGUAAUCGGAAUUCCUAGUGUAGCGGUGAAAUGCGUAGAUAUUAGGAAGAACACCAGUGGCGAAGGCGGAUUACGGGACGACAACUGACGGUGAGGCGCGAAAGCGUGGGGAGCAAACAGGAUUAGAUACCCCGGUAGUC
rnacentral:rRNA from 1 species